AUUGAACGCUGGCGGCAUGCUUUACACAUGCAAGUCGAACGGUAACAGGCCGCAAGGUGCUGACGAGUGGCGAACGGGUGAGUAAUGCAUCGGAACGUGCCCAGUCGUGGGGGAUAACUACUCGAAAGAGUAGCUAAUACCGCAUACGAUCUAUGGAUGAGAGCGGGGGACCGUAAGGCCUCGCGCGAUUGGAGCGGCCGAUGUCAGAUUAGGUAGUUGGUGGGGUAAAGGCUCACCAAGCCAACGAUCUGUAGCUGGUCUGAGAGGACGACCAGCCACACUGGGACUGAGACACGGCCCAGACUCCUACGGGAGGCAGCAGUGGGGAAUUUUGGACAAUGGGCGCAAGCCUGAUCCAGCAAUGCCGCGUGCAGGAAGAAGGCCUUCGGGCUGUAAACUGCUUUUGUACGGAACGAAACGGCUCUGGUUAAUACCCGGGGCUAAUGACGGUACCGUAAGAAUAAGCACCGGCUAACUACGUG
rnacentral:rRNA from 1 species